rnacentral:tRNA from 1 species
GCCGGGGUGGCUGAGUAGGUUAAGCAACCGACUUCGGCUCAGGCCAUGAUCUCACUGUUUGUGGGUUCGAGCCCCACGUCAGGCU